UACGUAGGUGGCAAGCGUUGUCCGGAUUUAUUGGGUUUAAAGGGCGCGUAGGCGGCCGCCUAAGUCAGACGUGAAAUCCCUCGGCUCAACCGGGGAACUGCGUCUGAUACUGGGUGGCUUGAAUCCGGGAGAGGGAUGCGGAAUUCCAGGUGUAGCGGUGAAAUGCGUAGAUAUCUGGAGGAACACCGGUGGCGAAGGCGGCAUCCUGGACCGGCAUUGACGCUGAGGCGCGAAAGCCAGGGGAGCAAACAGG
rnacentral:rRNA from 1 species